rnacentral:rRNA from 1 species
GGGUGACUGCGUACCUUUUGUAUAAUGGGUCAGCGACUUAUAUUCUGUAGCAAGGUUAACCGUAUAGGGGAGCCGUAGGGAAACCGAGUCUUAACUGGGCGAAUAAGUUGCAGGGUAUAGACCCGAAACCCGGUGAUCUAGCCAUGGGCAGGUUGAAGGUUGGGUAACACUAACUGGAGGACCGAACCGACUAAUGUUGAAAAAUUAGCGGAUGACUUGUGGCUGGGGGUGAAAGGCCAAUCAAACCGGGAGAUAGCUGGUUCUCCCCGAAAGCUAUUUAGGUAGCGCCUCGUGAACUCAUCUUCGGGGGUAGAGCACUGUUUCGACUAGGGGGUCAUCCCGACUUACCAACUCGAUGCAAACUACGAAUACCGAAGAAUGUUAUCACGGGAGACACACGGCGGGUGCUAACGUUCGUCGUGAAGAGGGAAACAACCCAGACCGCCAGCUAAGGUCCCAAAGUCAUAGUUAAGUGGGAAACGAAGUGGGAAGGCUCAGACAGCCAGGAUGUUGGCUUAGAAGCAGCCAUCAUUUAAAGAAAGCGUAAUAGCUCACUGGUCGAGUCGGCCUGCGCGGAAGAUGUAACGGGGCUAAACUAUGCACCGAAGCUGCGGCAGCGAUAUUUAGAUAUUGUUGGGUAGGGGAGCGUUCUGUAAGCCUGUGAAGGUGUGCUGUGAGGCAUGCUGGAGGUAUCAGAAGUGCGAAUGCUGACAUAAGUAACGAUAAUGCGGGUGAAAAACCCGCACGCCGGAAGACCAAGGGUUCCUGUCCAACGUUAAUCGGGGCAGGGUGAGUCGACCCCUAAGGCGAGGCAGAAAUGCGUAGUCGAUGGGAAACGGGUUAAUAUUCCCGUACUGGUGAUAAUUGCGAUGGGGGGACGGAGAAGGCUAGGCUAUCCGGGCGACGGUUGUCCCGGUUUAAGGAUGUAGGCAGGUGAAUUAGGCAAAUCCGGUUCACUACAUGCUGAGGUCCGACGACGAGUCACUACGGUGAUGAAGUAGCUCAUGCCCCGCUUCCAGGAAAAGCCUCUAAGCUCUAGAUUAUCAUUAAUCGUACCCCAAACCGACACAGGUGGUCAGGUAGAGAAUACUCAGGCGCUUGAGAGAACUCGGGUGAAGGAACUAGGCAAAAUGGUGCCGUAACUUCGGGAGAAGGCACGCUGGCAUUAGGUGAAGUGAUUUACUCAUGGAGCUGAAGCCAGUCGCAGAUACCAGCUGGCUGCAACUGUUUAUUAAAAACACAGCACUGUGCAAACACGAAAGUGGACGUAUACGGUGUGACGCCUGCCCGGUGCUGGAAGGUUAAUUGAUGGGGUUAUCCGUAAGGAGAAGCUCUUGAUCGAAGCCCCAGUAAACGGCGGCCGUAACUAUAACGGUCCUAAGGUAGCGAAAUUCCUUGUCGGGUAAGUUCCGACCUGCACGAAUGGCGUAAUGAUGGCCAGGCUGUCUCCACCCGAGACUCAGUGAAAUUGAACUCGCUGUGAAGAUGCAGUGUACCCGCGGCAAGACGGAAAGACCCCGUGAACCUUUACUAUAGCUUGACACUGAACAUUGAGCCUUGAUGUGUAGGAUAGGUGGGAGGCUUUGAAGCGUGGACGCCAGUCUGCGUGGAGCCAACCUUGAAAUACCACCCUUUAAUGUUUGAUGUUCUAACGUUGCCCCAUUAUCUGGGGUGCGGACAGUGUCUGGUGGGUAGUUUGACUGGGGCGGUCUCCUCCCAAAGAGUAACGGAGGAGCACGAAGGUUGGCUAAGCAUGGUCGGACAUCAUGCGGUUAGUGCAAAGGCAUAAGCCAGCUUGACUGCGAGAGUGACGGCUCGAGCAGGUACGAAAGUAGGUCUUAGUGAUCCGGUGGUUCUGAAUGGAAGGGCCAUCGCUCAACGGAUAAAAGGUACUCCGGGGAUAACAGGCUGAUACCGCCCAAGAGUUCAUAUCGACGGCGGUGUUUGGCACCUCGAUGUCGGCUCAUCACAUCCUGGGGCUGAAGUAGGUCCCAAGGGUACGGCUGUUCGCCGUUUAAAGUGGUACGCGAGCUGGGUUUAGAACGUCGUGAGACAGUUCGGUCCCUAUCUGCCGUGGGCGUUGGAAGAUUGAAAGGGGCUGCUCCUAGUACGAGAGGACCGGAGUGGACGCACCACUGGUGUUCGGGUUGUCAUGCCAAUGGCAUUGCCCGGUAGCUAAGUGCGGAAGAGAUAACCGCUGAAAGCAUCUAAGCGGGAAACUUGCCUUGAGAUGAGUCUUCCCUGACUCUUUAAGAGUCCUAAAGGAACGUUUAAGACUAAGACGUUGAUAGGUUGGGUGUGUAAGCGUAGCGAUACGUUGAGCUAACCAAUACUAAUGAACCGUGAGGCUUAACCUGACAACACCGAAGGUGUUUUAG